rnacentral:rRNA from 1 species
GGGUUGUGAGGUUAAGCGACUAAGCGUACACGGUGGAUGCCCUGGCAGUCAGAGGCGAUGAAGGACGUGCUAAUCUGCGAUAAGCGUCGGUAAGGUGAUAUGAACCGUUAUAACCGGCGAUUUCCGAAUGGGGAAACCCAGUGUGAUUCGUCACACUAUCAUUAACUGAAUCCAUAGGUUAAUGAGGCGAACCGGGGGAACUGAAACAUCUAAGUACCCCGAGGAAAAGAAAUCAACCGAGAUUCCCCCAGUAGCGGCGAGCGAACGGGGAGCAGCCCAGAGCCUGAAUCAGUGUGUGUGUUAGUGGAAGCGUCUGGAAAGGCGCGCGAUACAGGGUGACAGCCCCGUACACAAAAAUGCACAUACUGUGAGCUCGAUGAGUAGGGCGGGACACGUGGUAUCCUGUCUGAAUAUGGGGGGACCAUCCUCCAAGGCUAAAUACUCCUGACUGACCGAUAGUGAACCAGUACCGUGAGGGAAAGGCGAAAAGAACCCCGGCGAGGGGAGUGAAAAAGAACCUGAAACCGUGUACGUACAAGCAGUGGGAGCCUCUUUAUGGGGUGACUGCGUACCUUUUGUAUAAUGGGUCAGCGACUUAUAUUCUGUAGCAAGGUUAACCGAAUAGGGGAGCCGAAGGGAAACCGAGUCUUAACUGGGCGUUAAGUUGCAGGGUAUAGACCCGAAACCCGGUGAUCUAGCCAUGGGCAGGUUGAAGGUUGGGUAACACUAACUGGAGGACCGAACCGACUAAUGUUGAAAAAUUAGCGGAUGACUUGUGGCUGGGGGUGAAAGGCCAAUCAAACCGGGAGAUAGCUGGUUCUCCCCGAAAGCUAUUUAGGUAGCGCCUCGUGAAUUCAUCUCCGGGGGUAGAGCACUGUUUCGGCAAGGGGGUCAUCCCGACUUACCAACCCGAUGCAAACUGCGAAUACCGGAGAAUGUUAUCACGGGAGACACACGGCGGGUGCUAACGUCCGUCGUGAAGAGGGAAACAACCCAGACCGCCAGCUAAGGUCCCAAAGUCAUGGUUAAGUGGGAAACGAUGUGGGAAGGCCCAGACAGCCAGGAUGUUGGCUUAGAAGCAGCCAUCAUUUAAAGAAAGCGUAAUAGCUCACUGGUCGAGUCGGCCUGCGCGGAAGAUGUAACGGGGCUAAACCAUGCACCGAAGCUGCGGCAGCGACACUAUGUGUUGUUGGGUAGGGGAGCGUUCUGUAAGCCUGCGAAGGUGUACUGUGAGGUAUGCUGGAGGUAUCAGAAGUGCGAAUGCUGACAUAAGUAACGAUAAAGCGGGUGAAAAGCCCGCUCGCCGGAAGACCAAGGGUUCCUGUCCAACGUUAAUCGGGGCAGGGUGAGUCGACCCCUAAGGCGAGGCCGAAAGGCGUAGUCGAUGGGAAACAGGUUAAUAUUCCUGUACUUGGUGUUACUGCGAAGGGGGGACGGAGAAGGCUAUGUUGGCCGGGCGACGGUUGUCCCGGUUUAAGCGUGUAGGCUGGUUUUCCAGGCAAAUCCGGAAAAUCAAGGCUGAGGCGUGAUGACGAGGCACUACGGUGCUGAAGCAACAAAUGCCCUGCUUCCAGGAAAAGCCUCUAAGCAUCAGGUAACAUCAAAUCGUACCCCAAACCGACACAGGUGGUCAGGUAGAGAAUACCAAGGCGCUUGAGAGAACUCGGGUGAAGGAACUAGGCAAAAUGGUGCCGUAACUUCGGGAGAAGGCACGCUGAUAUGUAGGUGAAGCGACUUGCUCGUGGAGCUGAAAUCAGUCGAAGAUACCAGCUGGCUGCAACUGUUUAUUAAAAACACAGCACUGUGCAAACACGAAAGUGGACGUAUACGGUGUGACGCCUGCCCGGUGCCGGAAGGUUAAUUGAUGGGGUUAGCGGUAACGCGAAGCUCUUGAUCGAAGCCCCGGUAAACGGCGGCCGUAACUAUAACGGUCCUAAGGUAGCGAAAUUCCUUGUCGGGUAAGUUCCGACCUGCACGAAUGGCGUAAUGAUGGCCAGGCUGUCUCCACCCGAGACUCAGUGAAAUUGAACUCGCUGUGAAGAUGCAGUGUACCCGCGGCAAGACGGAAAGACCCCGUGAACCUUUACUAUAGCUUGACACUGAACAUUGAGCCUUGAUGUGUAGGAUAGGUGGGAGGCUUUGAAGUGUGGACGCCAGUCUGCAUGGAGCCGGCCUUGAAAUACCACCCUUUAAUGUUUGAUGUUCUAACGUUGGCCCCUGACCGGGGUUGCGGACAGUGUCUGGUGGGUAGUUUGACUGGGGCGGUCUCCUCCUAAAGAGUAACGGAGGAGCACGAAGGUUGGCUAAUCCUGGUCGGACAUCAGGAGGUUAGUGCAAUGGCAUAAGCCAGCUUGACUGCGAGCGUGACGGCGCGAGCAGGUGCGAAAGCAGGUCAUAGUGAUCCGGUGGUUCUGAAUGGAAGGGCCAUCGCUCAACGGAUAAAAGGUACUCCGGGGAUAACAGGCUGAUACCGCCCAAGAGUUCAUAUCGACGGCGGUGUUUGGCACCUCGAUGUCGGCUCAUCACAUCCUGGGGCUGAAGUAGGUCCCAAGGGUAUGGCUGUUCGCCAUUUAAAGUGGUACGCGAGCUGGGUUUAGAACGUCGUGAGACAGUUCGGUCCCUAUCUGCCGUGGGCGCUGGAGAACUGAGGGGGGCUGCUCCUAGUACGAGAGGACCGGAGUGGACGCAUCACUGGUGUUCGGGUUGUCAUGCCAAUGGCACUGCCCGGUAGCUAAAUGCGGAAGAGAUAAGUGCUGAAAGCAUCUAAGCACGAAACUUGCCCCGAGAUGAGUUCUCCCUGACUCCUUGAGAGUCCUGAAGGAACGUUGAAGACGACGACGUUGAUAGGCCGGGUGUGUAAGCGCAGCGAUGCGUUGAGCUAACCGGUACUAAUGAACCGUGAGGCUUAACCUUACAACGCCGAAG